GCUACUACCGAUUGAGUGAUCCGGUGAAUGAUUUGGACUGCAGCUCUGUUCAGUUCCUGUCCUUUGCUGUGGAAAGUUUAAUGAACCUUAUCACUUAGAGGAAGGAGAAGUCGUAACAAGGUUUCCGU
rnacentral:rRNA from 1 species